GGACACCACAAGCAGAUGCUCUCGCCUUUCGCUGCUUCUAUGCUAGCACCCCUUGGGCUGGUCUCUCUCGUUCUCCUUCCUUUUGGAAUGGGUGCAUGGUGGUGGUGGUGUGGAUACUCCAUCCGAAUUUUGUUAGAGUUUUCGUGCGCGUUCGCUUGAUGUGCGCACCCGACGUUCCCUCGCUUCGUAUCUUCGCGCAGACAGGGGGAGAGACACGUUUGCCGGCAUCGAUGUAGAUGUGCGUUCUGCACGUGUGAGCGUAUGGAUGGGAGGGCAGAGGACACAGAAAAGGGAGAGCACGGCGCGUGUAGCCGACAAGGAGGGAGAAGACACACCGAUACAAGGGUGAGGUCGGCGUGCCCGCGUCUGUGCUCAGUCAAAGGCGGAGCAGCCUGGCGUCGAAAGGUGUGGGAGGAGCUGAUGCUGCUCUCUGUCCGCGUUUGGGGAUGAGGGAGGGGGGAGCGCUUCGGGUGCUCCUGCCCCUCUGCCCCUGGCUGAUGUUUGCUUCUCAGUCGUGUAGUUCGCACCACACUGAUUUUUCUCCUUGUUCUCGAGUUUUCCCAUUAUGGUUCGUGUUUGCUUUUCGCGCAGUAUUGCCGUGCUGCGGUGCCGCCUCUGUUUUUGGUUUCUCUUGCUUUCUCCCUUGCCGUGUCUUGUCUUUUUGUCGGUUUUUCGCUGUCGUUGUCACUACGGUUAUGGAUGCUCGGCUCGCUGAGCGAGUGAGUGAGGGAGGGGGAGGAAAGGGAAGGGAGGAGGGAGGCAGAGCGACUCUUCCCCGCAAAAAAAAAGGCAAAACAGCGACAAAAAAAGGAAAACCGAGAAGAGAGAAAGGCGACGCGCAAAACAAAGAAGGUGGAAUGUAGUUGUAAAAGGAAGGGAAGUGCUGAUGGUGAUGGUGCUCAUUGUGGCGGCUUCGUUAGUUGGGUCCUCUGUUGUUCCCUUUCUGUUGUUUUACCCUGCAGGGUGACCCCCUCCCCCUCCCCUUUUCUUCUCGCGUCUUCCCUCCCCGUCCUCUCCAUCCGCUCACGCAUGGUGCACAAGUGCUGUUACGGCCAAUGAUGAAUGUAACUUGAACGGAAAAAAGAAGAGCAGAAAAAAAUGCCAAAGAAGCACCGCGAGCGUAUACGGGGGACGUGCAAUGUCCCGCGGCAAUGCGCGCAGCGCACGGCAUGGGCGAGCGGCAAGUUUGUUGUCGGCUUAGAAGGUCAAUGCCCUCCCCCUCCUUCAAUUCCAUCUUUAUCCCUGUCUUUCCG
rnacentral:misc_RNA from 1 species